rnacentral:RNase_P_RNA from 2 species
AAGGCCGGCCGGGCAAUCGCGGGCGGCGCGAGCCGUCCGAGGAAAGUCCGCGCUCCUAAGAGCACGGUGCCGGGCAACACCCGGGCGGGGAAAGCCCGCGAAAAGGGCCACAGAAAACGACCGCCCCAGCUCCAUCUGGGGUCAGGGUGAAAAGGUGGUGUAAGAGACCACCGGCGCCGGCAGCAAUGCGGGCGGCCAGGCAUCCUCCACCGGGAGCAAGGCCAAGCAGGGGCAAAGCCCGGCGACGGGCGGGAGACGGCUCGUCUCCCUCGAGCCCCGGGUAGGCUGCUCGAGCCCCGUGGUGACGCGUGGGCCCAGAGAGAUGAUUGCCCAGGCGCCGGGGGGCGGGAUGAAGGGCAACCGUAAACCGUCCCUCGGCGCCGGACAAAACGCGGCUUAUAGGCCGGCCGCAGCC